GACUUUCACCAUGUUGCCCAGACUGGUUCCAAACUCUGGGCUCAAGAGAUCCUCCCAGGUUGGCCUCCCAAAGUGCUGGGAUUGCAGGUGUAAGCCACUGUGCACAGCCCUACUCAUGUGACUUAUACAAAGUCAGAGCAGUGAGCAGGAAGAGAACAGAGACUUCAGCGAGUCUCCUGGCUGUGGCAACGCCAUAUCCCUCCUCCAUACCGUAAUGUGUCUACACCCACCAAGCUCCUAGACGUUGAAGGCAGGUCAGCUCAGAGACGAAACAGCAGUCAAGAAAGAGAAGAUGCAGACACGCGUCUUGAUUUCAGCUCGAGCGUGCCUCUCUGCCCUGCAGCUGCACAGGCAGAAACCAGGGGCCGUGAGUCUGAGGCAGUGUGUUCGGUUCGUGGCAGGCCGUGAACACUGACUGCAUGUCUACUAUGGCCAGGACUCCAAGGGAGGCACCCUAGGGAACACAGAUGACCGCAGCACAGCGACAACCUCAAGGAGCACACACGGGGAAGGCAAGAUGAUACAAUCGAAGA